rnacentral:rRNA from 1 species
ACGGCCGCAAGGCUGAAACUCAAAGGAAUUGACGGGGGCCCGCACAAGCGGUGGAGCAUGUGGUUUAAUUCGAAGCUACGCGAAGAACCUUACCAGGUCUUGACAUACUAUGCAAAUCUAAGAGAUUAGACGCUCCCUUCGGGGACAUGGAUACAGGUGGUGCAUGGUUGUCGUCAGCUCGUGUCGUGAGAUGUUGGGUUAAGUCCCGCAACGAGCGCAACCCUUAUUAUCAGUUGCCAGCAUUAAGUUGGGCACUCUGGUGAGACUGCCGGUGACAAACCGGAGGAAGGUGGGGAUGACGUCAAAUCAUCAUGCCCCUUAUGACCUGGGCUACACACGUGCUACAAUGGAUGGUACAACGAGUUGCGAACUCGCGAGAGUAAGCUAAUCUCUUAAAGCCAUUAUCAGUUCGGAUUGUAGGCUGCAACUCGCCUACAUGAAGUCGGAAUCGCUAGUAAUCGCGGAUCAGCAUGCCGCGGUGAAUACCUUCCCGGGCCUUGUACACACCGCCCGUCACACCAUGAGAGUUUAUAACACCCAAA